rnacentral:rRNA from 1 species
GGAUGCGAUCAUACCAGCACUAAAGCACCGGAUCCCAUCAGAACUCCGAAGUUAAGUGUGCUUGGGCGAGAGUAGUACUUGGAUGGGUGACCUCCUGGGAAGUCCUCGUGUUGCAUUCC